UAACCCAGAGAACUGAAACAUCUCAGUACCUGGAGGAAGAGAAAGAAAACUCGAUUUCGUCAGUAGCGGCGAGCGAAAGCGAAAUAGCCCAAACCGUGGGGAUUUUCCUCACGGGGUUGUAGGGUCUCUCACAUGGGAGUUACAAAGCAAUCUGCUAGUUGAACGACAUGGAAAGGUCGGCCACAGACGGUGACAGCCCGGUAAACGAAAGCGGAAUUGCCUCCCGAGAGAUACCUGAGUAGGUUCAGGCACGUGAAACCUGGACUGAAUCCACGGGGACCAUCCCGUAAGGCUAAAUACUCUCUGAUAACCGAUAGCGAACUCAGUAUGGCGACUGAAAGAUGAGAAGAACCCCUGUUAGGGGAGGUAUGUGAACCUGAAACCAUACGCUUACAAGCGGUCGGAGCCCGAUUAUUGGGUGACGGCGUGCCUUUUGCAUAAUGAUCCGGCGAGUUACGGUCUGCGGCAGGUUAAAGUCUUACGGACUGAAGCCAGAGGGAAACCGAGUCUGAAUAGGGCGUUAGUCGUAGGCUGUAGACGCGAAACCAAGUGAUCUACCCAUGAGCAGGUUGAAGCGCGGGUUAUACCGCGUGGAGGACCGAACCCACUUGGGUUGAAAACCGAGGGGAUGACUUGUGGGGAGGAGUGAAAGUCUAAUCAAACUUGGAGAUAUCUCGUUCUCUCCGAAAUAGCUUUAGGGCUAGCCUUGAGCCACUACGCACCGGGGGUAGAGAGACUGAAUCGAUUUGGGGCCCCUUCCCGGGGUACCCUGUCGGACCAAACUCCGAAUACCGGGGCGACUAUCUCAGGAGUCAGUCCACGAGGGAUAAGCUUCGUGGUCGAGAGGGAAACAACCCAGACCGUCUGUUAAGGUCCCGAAGAGACGCUCAGUCACUAAGGAGGUUGAAUUACUGUGACAACCAGGAUGUUGGCUUAGAAGCAGCCACCAUUUAAAAAGUGCGUAACAGCUUACUGGUCGAGUAAUUCUGCGCCGAUAAUGAUCGGGAGUAAGCGUCUCACCGAAGCAGCGGACGAAAGUGGUAGGAGAGCGCCGAUAGUCAGAUACGAGCCGUACCGAAAGGAGCGGUGUUGGGGCUAUCGGGUGAUUAUGCCGGAAUGAGUAACGAUUAAACAGGUGAGAAUCCUGUUCGCCGAAUACCUAAGGUUUCCUGGGGAAGGCAAUUCCGCCCAGGGUUAGCCGGUGCCUUAGUCGAGGCCGAAAGGCGUAGACGAUGGAUAGCAGGUUAAUAUUCCUGCGCUAGAACGUUGGACCGAUGGAGGGACGGCGUCCGAAAGGUGAUCGGGCUGGUGGAACAGCCCGUGAUUUGCAGCAAGAUGGGGAGAUUGGAAAAUCCGCUCCCGGA
rnacentral:rRNA from 1 species